AGUGAACGCUGGCGGUAGGCCUAACACAUGCAAGUCGAACGGCAGCACAGUAAGAGCUUGCUCUUACGGGUGGCGAGUGGCGGACGGGUGAGGAAUACAUCGGAAUCUACUUUUUCGUGGGGGAUAACGUAGGGAAACUUACGCUAAUACCGCAUACGACCUACGGGUGAAAGCAGGGGAUCUUCUGACCUUGCGCGAUUGAAUGAGCCGAUGUCGGAUUAGCUAGUUGGCGGGGCAAAGGCCCACCAAGGCGACGAUCCGUAGCUGGUCUGAGAGGAUGAUCAGCCACACUGGAAGUGAGACACGGUCCAGACUCCUACGGGAGGCAGCAGUGGGGAAUAUUGGACAAUGGGGGAAAGCCUGAUACAGCAAUACCGCGUGGGUGAUGAAGGCGUUCGGGUUGUAAAGCCCUUUUGUUGGGAAAGAAGAACAGCAGGUUAAUACGCCGCUGUUCUGACGGUACCCAAAGAAUAAGCACCGGCUAACUUCGUG
rnacentral:rRNA from 1 species